rnacentral:rRNA from 1 species
GACAGAGGGUGCAAGCGUUGUUCGGAAUUAUUGGGCGUAAAGGGCGCGUAGGCGGCUGAGCAAGUCGAAUGUGAAAUCCCUGGGCUUAACCCAGGAAGUGCAUUUGAUACUGCUCAACUUGAGUCCCGGAGAGGGUGGUGGAAUUCCCAGUGUAGAGGUGAAAUUUGUAGAUAUUGGGAGGAACACCGGUGGCGAGGGCGACCACCUGGACGGAGACUGACGCUGAGGCGCGAAAGCGUGGGGAGCAAACAGG